UGCUUAAUACAUGCAAGCCGAGCGGUUUCAGCAAUGGGACAGCGGCGCACGGGUGAGUAACACGUAAAUAACCUGGCUUUAAGUUUGGAAUAACUUCCCCAAAGGGAAGGUAAUACCGGAUAAUGCGGAAGGGCGGCAUCGUUUUUUUGUAAAAGCAGAGAUGUGCUUAGAGAUGGAUUUGCGGACUAUUAGUUAGUUGGUGGGGUAGUAGCUUACCAAGGCGAUGAUAGUUAGCCGGCUUGAGAGAGUGACCGGCCACAAUGGGACUGAGACACGGCCCAUACUCCUACGGGAGGCAGCAGUAGGGAAUAUUGCGCAAUGGAUGGAAGUCUGACGCAGCAACUCCGCGUGAUGGACGAAGGUCUUCGGAUUGUAAACAUCUUUUAUACGGGAAGAAAAGUUAGAGAUUGACGGUACCGUAUGAAUAAGCUCCGGCUAAAUAUGUGCCAGCAGCCGCGGUAAUACAUAUGGAGCGGGCGUUACUCGGAAUCACUGGGCGUAAAGGGUGCGUAGGCGGUAAUAUAAGUCGUAGUUUUAACUUAUGGGCUUAACCUGUAUUGUGAUUGCGAUACUAUAAUACUUGAAUACUUGAAGGGUAAAUGGAAUUUCCGGUGUAACGGUGGAAUGUGUAGAUAUCGGGAAGAACACCAAUAGCGAAGGCAUUUUACCGGCGAGAUAUUGACGCUGAGGCACGAAAGCGGGGGUAGCAAACAGGAUUAGAUACCCUGGUAGUCCUCGCUGUAAACGAUGGACAUUAGUCGUUGGGUUGAAAGAUUCAGUGGCGUAGAAAACUUGAUAAAUGUCCCGCCUGGGUAGUACGGCCGCAAGGUUGAAACCCAAAGGAAUUGACGGGGACCCGCACAAGCGGUGGAGCAUGUGCUUUAAUUCGAUGCAACGCGAAGAACCUUACCCGGUCUUGACAUAGUCCUGACAGUUUCAGAGAUGGGAUUUUCAGCAAUGACAGGAUAUACAGAUGCUGCAUGGUUGUCGUCAGCUCGUGUCGUGAGAUGUUGGGUUAAGUCCCGCAACGAGCGCAACCCUUGCCUAUAGUUACUAACAUUAAGUUGAGGACUUUAUGGGGACUGCCUUCGCAAGGAGGAGGAAGGUGGGGAUGACGUCAAAUCAUCAUGGCUCUUACGACCGGGGCUA
rnacentral:rRNA from 1 species